AGAGUUUGAUCCUGGCUCAGAUUGAACGCUGGCGGCAGGCCUAACACAUGCAAGUCGAGCGGUAGAGAGAAGCUUGCUUCUCUUGAGAGCGGCGGACGGGUGAGUAAAGCCUAGGAAUCUGCCUGGUAGUGGGGGAUAACGUUCGGAAACGGACGCUAAUACCGCAUACGUCCUACGGGAGAAAGCAGGGGACCUUCGGGCCUUGCGCUAUCAGAUGAGCCUAGGUCGGAUUAGCUAGUUGGUGAGGUAAUGGCUCACCAAGGCGACGAUCCGUAACUGGUCUGAGAGGAUGAUCAGUCACACUGGAACUGAGACACGGUCCAGACUCCUACGGGAGGCAGCAGUGGGGAAUAUUGGACAAUGGGCGAAAGCCUGAUCCAGCCAUGCCGCGUGUGUGAAGAAGGUCUUCGGAUUGUAAAGCACUUUAAGUUGGGAGGAAGGGCAUUAACCUAAUACGUUAGUGUUUUGACGUUACCAACAGAAUAAGCACCGGCUAACUCUGUGCCAGCAGC
rnacentral:rRNA from 1 species